rnacentral:rRNA from 1 species
ACUCCUACGGGAGGCAGCAGUGGGGAAUAUUGCACAAUGGGCGCAAGCCUGAUGCAGCCAUGCCGCGUGUAUGAAGAAGGCCUUCGGGUUGUAAAGUACUUUCAGCAGUGAGGAAGGUAGUGUAGUUAAUAGCUGCAUUAUUUGACGUUAGCUGCAGAAGAAGCACCGGCUAACUCCGUGCCAGCAGCCGCGGUAAUACGGAGGGUGCGAGCGUUAAUCGGAAUUACUGGGCGUAAAGCGCAUGCAGGUGGUUUGUUAAGUCAGAUGUGAAAGCCCGGGGCUCAACCUCGGAAUAGCAUUUGAAACUGGCAGACUAGAGUACUGUAGAGGGGGGUAGAAUUUCAGGUGUAGCGGUGAAAUGCGUAGAGAUCUGAAGGAAUACCGGUGGCGAAGGCGGCCCCCUGGACAGAUACUGACACUCAGAUGCGAAAGCGUGGGGAGCAAACAGGAUUAGAUA